GGUGCACGGUCGGGAACAGUUGGAACGGCUGCUAAUACCGGAUGUGCCUUAGGGUGAAAGAUUUAUCACCUGAAGAUGAGCUCGCGUCUGAUUAGCUAGUAGGUGUGGUAAGAGCGCACCUAGGCGACGAUCAGUAGCUGGUCUGAGAGGAUGAUCAGCCACACUGGGACUGAGACACGGCCCAGACUCCUACGGGAGGCAGCAGUGGGGAAUUUUCCGCAAUGGGCGAAAGCCUGACGGAGCAAUACCGCGUGAGGGAGGAAGGCUCUUGGGUUGUAAACCUCUUUUCUCAGGGAAGAAUGAUGACGGUACCUGAGGAAUAAGCAUCGGCUAACUCCGUGCCAGCAGCCGCGGUAAUACGGAGGAUGCAAGCGUUAUCCGGAAUGAUUGGGCGUAAAGCGUCCGCAGGUGGCAAUGUAAGUCUGCUGUCAAAGCGUCUGGCUCAACCAGAUAAAGGCAGUGGAAACUACAUAGCUAGAGUAAGGUAGGGGUAGAGGGAAUUCCUGGUGUAGCGGUGAAAUGCGUAGAGAUCAGGAAGAACACCGGUGGCGAAAGCGCUCUGCUGGACCUUAACUGACACUGAGGGACGAAAGCUAGGGGAGCGAAUGGGAUUAGAUACCCCAAGUAGUCACGCGUUACUCGCCCC
rnacentral:rRNA from 1 species